AUGUCCUCUCAUACAACCUCGAGAGGGUGGUCAAGCCCAAUUUUGGCGUUACUGCAAGGGUGCGGGCUAGGUGCUUGUGAUAUUGCCAAGUUGUGCAUCUCAACACCGAGGUUGCUCGACACUAACCCCAUGCGUGUCCAGGCGAUUGUGGCAUGCGCUCAAAACAUAGGUGUGCCACGUGGUUCAAGGAUGUUCAGGCACGCGAUGCGUGCUGUUGCAUCUUGCGGAGAGGAGGAGAUAGCAACCAGAGUGGAGUACUUGAGGAACACAUUCAUGUGGAUGGAUGGUGAGGUAGGCAUGGCCAUUUCUAAGUUUCCACCGCUGCUGAAUAAGUCCAAGGAAUCGCUGCAGCACAGGUCUGAGUUCCUCAUCUCCGAGGCGGGCUUGGAACCGGUGCACAUUGUUCAAUGGUUGGUAAUACUAGGGCAUAGCCUAGAGGGCCGGCUCAGGCCCCGGUACUAUGCUGUGAAGUUUCUCAAGGAAAAUGGAUUGCUCAAGCGCGACUCAAGCUACUAUACUGUUUUCAAGGAGUCCGACAUGACAUUCAAGAAGAAGUUCAUACACCCUCAUAAGGAAGUUGCACCGCACCUUGAAAAAGACUAUGAUGCUGCUUGCAAAGGGGAAGUGCUCACUAAUUUCAGAUUCACAUAA
rnacentral:rRNA from 1 species